rnacentral:rRNA from 1 species
AGCCACCAUUGAAAGAGUGCGUAAUAGCUCACUGGUCGAGUGACUCUGCGCCGAAAAUGUAACGGGGCUAAACACACCACCGAAGCUAUGGCUAGAUGCUUUGCAUCUGGGGUAGGGGAGCGUUGUGUAGGGGUUGAAGGUGUACCGUAAGGAGCGCUGGACACUACACAAGUGAGAAUGCCGGUAUGAGUAACGAAAAGAUCAGUGAGAAUCUGAUCCGCCGAAAGCCCAAGGUUUCCUGAGGAAGGCUCGUCCGCUCAGGGUAAGUCGGGACCUAAGGCGAGGCCGACAGGCGUAGUCGAAGGACAACAGUUUGAAAUUACUGUACCACCGUAAUCCGCUAUGAGCGAUGGGGUGACGCAGGAGGGUAGUGACGCGGACUGAUGGAUGUCCGUCUAAGCAGUGAGGCUGGUGUGCAGGCAAAUCCGCACAUCGUAAGGCUGGGCUGUGAUGGGGAGCGAAAAUUAUAGUAGCGAAGGUCAUGAUCUCACACUGCCAAGAAAAGCCUCUAGCCAGGAGAAGGUGCCCGUACCGCAAACCGACACAGGUAGGCGAGAAGAGAAUUCUAAGGCGCGCGGAAGAACUCUCGUUAAGGAACUCGGCAAAAUGACCCCGUAACUUCGGGAGAAGGGGUGCCUCGGUAGGGUGAAUAGCCCGAGGGGGCCGCAGUGAAAAGGCCCAAGCGACUGUUUAGCAAAAACACAGGUCUGUGCGAAGCCGCAAGGCGAAGUAUACGGGCUGACGCCUGCCCGGUGCUGGAAGGUUAAGGGGAGCGGUUAGGAGCAAUCCGAAGCUGUGAACCGAAGCCCCAGUAAACGGCGGCCGUAACUAUAACGGUCCUAAGGUAGCGAAAUUCCUUGUCAGGUAAAUUCUGACCCGCACGAAUGGCGUAACGACUUGGGCGCUGUCUCAACGAGAGAUCCGGUGAAAUUUUAAUACCUGUGAAGAUGCAGGUUACCCGCGACAAGACGGAAAGACCCCAUGGAGCUUUACUGCAGCUUGAUAUUGAAUUUGGGUACGAUCUGUACAGGAUAGGUGGGAGCCGUGGAGGCAGGAGCGCAAGCUUCUGCGGAGGCGCCGUUGGGAUACCACCCUGAUCGUAUCUAGGUUCUAACCUAGUGCCCU